rnacentral:lncRNA from 1 species
ACACUUUAUGCCCUUAAUCGUGCAUUUCCAAAUUAAACACAUAUUUUAGUAAAUUUCGAAAUUUACCACGAUCUCCCAUGAAUCCGAGCUUGCAGCUUGUUAUGGAGCUUCAACAGAGUUGCUGCUACUUUUGUCUAGCUUCUGAAUUCCGCUUUCGUUUCCUUAGCUCAAGAUCACGGCUUCUCUCUCAGCAACUUACUGUGCACACACACGGGAGACAAACGGGAGAGAGAGAGAUGCACUGCACUCAUGCCACAGAUUUCUUGAACAGUUAACUUCCAAUGGGCUGAAGUUACUUAAAUACAGUGGUUGAGCGCAGGGACCCCUCAUGUGUUAGUACAAAAUUGCCCAUCCC